CGCCCUUUUCCGGUUGAUCCUGCCGGAGGCUACUGCCAUCAGAGUUCGAUUAAGCCAUGUUAGUCGAGGGUGCUUCUUCUUCGGAAGAAGUAACCCGGCGGACGGCUCAGUAACACGUGGAUAACUUGCCCUUGGGUCUGGGAUAACCCCUGAGAAAUUGGGGACAAUACCGGAUAGGGCAUCGAUAGCUGGAAUGCGCGAUGUCCAAAAGCUGAGGCGCCCAAGGAUAGGUCUGCGGCCGAUUAGGUUGUUGUUGAUGUAAUGGAUCAACAAGCCUGCAAUCGGUACGGGUUGUGAGAGCAAGAGCCCGGAGAUGGGUUCUGAGAAAAGAACCCAGGUCCUACGGGACGCAUCAGGCGCGAAAACUUUACAAUGUGCGAAAGCACGAUAAGGGAACUCUGAGUGCCUCCUAUGGAGGCUGUUCAGGUGUCUAAAAAGCACUUGAAGUAAGGGCUGGGUAAGACCGGUGCCAGCCGCCGCGGUAACACCGGCAGCCCAAGUGGUAGCCACGAUUAUUGGGUCUAAAGCGUCCGUAGCCGGCCAGGUAAGUUCUUUGGGAAAUUUAACCGCUCAACGGUUAAGCUUUCAGGGAAUACUGCUUGGCUUGGGACCGGGAGAGGUCAGAGGUACUUCAAGGGUA
rnacentral:rRNA from 1 species